AGAGUUUGAUCAUGGCUCAGAACGAACGCUGGCGGCAGGCCUAAAACAUGCAAGUCGAACGAAGUCUUCGGACUUAGUGGCGCACGGGUGAGUAACGCGUGGGAACGUGCCCUUCAGUACGGAACAACAGCUGGAAACGGCUGCUAAUACCGUAUAAUAUCUUCGGAUCAAAGAAUUUCGCUGAAGGAUCGGCCCGCGUUAGAUUAGAUAGUUGGUGGGGUAAAAGCCUACCAAGUCGACGAUCUAUAGCUGGUUUGAGAGGAUGACCAGCCACACUGGUACUGAGACACGGACCAGACUCCUACGGGAGGCAGCAGUUGGGAAUAUUGGACAAUGGGCGCAAGCCUGAUCCAGCCAUGCCGCGUGAGUGAAGACGGCCUUAGGGUUGUAAAGCUCUUUCAGGUGUUAGGAUAAUGACAGUAGCAUCAGAAGAAGCCCCGGCUAAAUUCGUGCCAGCAGCCGCGGUAAUACGAAUGGGGCGAGCGUUGUUCGGAAUCACUGGGCGUAAAGCGUACGUAGGCGGAUAUGAAAGUCAGAAGUGAAAGCCCGGGGCUUAACCCCGGAAUUGCUUUUGAAACUUCAUAUCUAGAGUUCUGGAGAGGCAAGGGGAAUUCCGAGUGUAGAGGUGAAAUUCGCAGAUAUUCGGAGGAACACCAGUGGCGUAGGCGCCUUGCUGGACAGAUACUGACGCUGAGGUACGAAAGCGUGGGGAGCAAACAGGAUUAGAUACCCUAGUAGUCC
rnacentral:rRNA from 1 species